rnacentral:sRNA from 1 species
GAAUAAACGGGAUGGGAGCGUUAUCCUUUUGCGGCUACCCUGAGCGGAGUCGAAGGGUAGCAAAAGAUAUAGUGCACAGCCCGACAGAAC